rnacentral:rRNA from 1 species
ACGAACGCUGGCGGCGUGCCUAAUACAUGCAAGUAGAACGCUGAAGGAGGAGCUUGCUUCUCUGGUUGAGUUGCGAACGGGUGAGUAACGCGUAGGUAACCUGCCUGGUAGCGGGGGAUAACUAUUGGAAACGAUAGCUAAUACCGCAUAAUAGUAGAUGUUGCAUGACAUUUGCUUAAAAGGUGCAAUUGCAUCACUACCAGAUGGACCUGCGUUGUAUUAGCUAGUUGGUGAGGUAACGGCUCACCAAGGCAACGAUACAUAGCCGACCUGAGAGGGUGAUCGGCCACACUGGGACUGAGACACGGCCCAGACUCCUACGGGAGGCAGCAGUAGGGAAUCUUCGGCAAUGGACGGAAGUCUGACCGAGCAACGCCGCGUGAGUGAAGAAGGUUUUCGGAUCGUAAAGCUCUGUUGUAAGAGAAGAACGAGUGUGAGAGUGGAAAGUUCACACUGUGACGGUAUCUUACCAGAAAGGGACGGCUAACUACGUG